rnacentral:rRNA from 1 species
GGUAAUUCCAGCUCCAAUAGCGUAUAUUAAAAUUGUUGCAGUUAAAAAGCUCGUAGUUGAAUUUCUGCUGCAUUGCUUGUGUCCCUCUGGGGUCUGUGCAUGUGGCUUUUUUCGGACGGAGUUUCUUUGUCUGAAUGUUUACUUUGAGAAAAUUAGAGUGCUCAAAGCAGGCUUUCGCCUUGAAUAGUUUAGCAUGGAAUAAUAAAGUAGGACUUUGGUUCUAUUUUGUUGGUUUUAGGUACCAAAGUAAUGGUUAAUAGGAACAGUUGGGGGCAUUCGUAUUUAACUGUCAGAGGUGAAAUUCUUAGAUUUGUUAAAGACGAACUACUGCGAAAGCAUUUGCCAAGGAUGUUUUCAUUAAUCAAGAACGAAAGUUAGGGGAUCGAAGACGAUCAGAUAUCGUCGUAGUCCUAACCAUAAACUAUGCCGACUAGAGAUUGGAGGUCGUCAGUUUUUACGAC